UUGAGUGAAACCACAGCCACAUAUAAUCAGCAGUCAAUGUCAGCAGCCAGUCAGUGAGUUUCCUCCGAUCAUGAAGGCAGUGUUAGUGUUCCUGGUCUGUGUGAGCGUGAGUGUAUUGAGUGCGCCAGCACCAGAUCCACAAAUUGACUCCAGAAUACAGAGCUUUACCAGCAUCACUUACGAUGGUAAUACGUAUUUAGCUGACAAAACAGACAGUCAUGUACAGCUACCGACUUUCAAAAAAGACUUUAGCCAUGUACAUAUAAAGAAAAUAAGUUUUAAGAUAGGGCCGAACGGAGAAAUAACUGAAAUCGACGAUGAUGCAGAGCCGUUUCAGUAGGAUGUGUGAAGACAGGGAACAAAAGAAGAUUCCUGUUACAGCAGAUGAAGAUGUAAAGGAAGAAUAGGAGUAACUCACCACUCUUUACUCCAAAUUUUAAAGGUGUACCUAGUUGCUCAACUUUCUUUGUUCCAAAUGUAAAAAAAUAUAAAAUAAAUUUAAUGUUUUAUUCUUAAUUUUGUAACUAUUUAUUGUAUUGUAUGUAAUGUAUUUGUAAAAAGUGUACAAAAUAUUUCUGUACAUUUCAUUGUAAAUAUAUUAAGUAAUAAAAACUACUUAUUAUCA